AAGCUGGAGCGGCGGUGGCCUCAUUUCAGUUCCAGAGGAGACACCAACACCCCCCCAUGUCAACCAUCAGCUCACCGCUAAGAUCACGCUCUCGCCGGGGCUUUAUUUAUCUGCAUGCCAGCUUUCUCCUCCCUCCCUCCCUCUCCCACUUCGCCUUUCUCUCUCUCUCUCUCCCUCUCCCUCUCUCCCCACCAGAAAGCAGCAGCUUGGAGAGAUCUGCAGUUCAAACAUUAAGGAACUGGAAGACGACCAUCCAACAGACCGGGAGGACGAGGCGAUAGUUUGUUGGUGUCGUGGGGUGAAAUACAGUCUCCCCGAAGUGGGUGAGGGCAUCUAUUCAUGAAGACCCUCAGUGAGAGGUGGGAACGAGCCAAAGGGGCAACAUACCUAUAUAGCGAGGUAGGGGAACAAGCCACAGUCCCUUCAAGUCAAAGGGAGUCUUUCCAUUGGACUUCAGCAAACUUGGGAUCGCUCUUGCUCCCUACCUCAUUUUUUCCAGCUUCCUUCAUGGCGUUUUGUUCCUUCGCUUUCUUCUUCCAGAUGCCAGCACUGCCUUUUCCUCCAAACCCUUCACUGAUGCUGGAAGGAGGAGGGACAUUUCCUCCUAGAACAAAAGGAUGGAAGAAUGGAGAUGGGAAAGGGACCUGGAGGGUGAAGGCCUUUCCAUCCACAAACACCUCUCCCAUGCCUACAACUCACGACCCCAGCCUCGGGGACGUGGCCGAUUGCAGGGUGGUCUCCAGCAGCCAAAGCCAGUGCAGUCCGUGCAUGUGUCAGGUCAAGCCAGGUGGAUGGGGCUCUCCGCGAUUCCCAAGGGAGUUGGCCUGGCUGCCCCCGCAGAUCAUACGGGAGCAAGCCGGGUUUUAAACAAGCCCCCGUUCGGCUCAGAGUUGUAUUCAUUUUUAGUUUAAAGACCAAACCGACCCACCCUCUGCCCCUCUUGCGGCCGUUGUUGUCACUGGCAGGAUUCCCAGCAACGUCAGCCACGGCUGGAUCGAGCCCUCGUGGAAGUCAAUGGCUAGGUUCUCCAGGAACGGGACCUGUUUGGGGAGCGGGGGCACAGCAUUUGGCCUGACGUGGGCUCAUGAUUCGGGUUUCCAUCUUCCUCCUUAACGGUAUCCUUGCACUUGAGAUAUUCCACUUGUAACUUGAGAGCAGGCCCAAGCCAGUAAAAUGCUGGGACCAAAUUUGCAACAGCUGAAAAGGCAACGUAGCAGCUGGCGCUCUACUGGGUGGUCAACAGGGCUCCUGCCCAUGCCCCAGCGUAGGGUCCCGCGGGUUAUUCCCUUUAGAAAGGAGAACUUGCUGCUGUCAGUCAUGUCUUGGGUGUAAUCCUGCUUAUUUUCAAAGACCAUCCAAGUCCUGGUCCUGUGAGCACACGAGGAACCAAGAAGAAGAGUUCAUUUCUUUGCUCAGCUCUGGUUUUUUUGGGGAGUUUUUUUGGUUCAGCCAGCAGUUCGCUCCCAAACCACACGCUCCGUCAGCCGCCUUGCAGGGUCAGGCUAAAAGUGUCCGCGCUUCUGCUGCUUUCGUGCUGCCUUCGUGUCUCCUGCUGGGGUGUUUUUCCUGCUUCUCUCUUUUGCACACGCACACCUUUACAUAACGGCACCCAGGUAAACCCCUCUGAUCACACUGUGCAUCCCUGUUUGCGUGCGUUGGUAACACUCCCCCCAGGUCCCAGAUCCCAUAAAGGGGCUCAAUGGCUUCUUUCUUCAAUGAAGGGAAAUGGUGAACGUCCUCCCCCCGGUUUCAGCAAACCGAAUCCCAGUCCCUGCCACUGUGCCCUGUCUCAGCUCCACUCACCCUUCCCGCAGAGCCUAAAGUGGUGGUGGCAUCUAAAAGCCGGUCUUAGCUCUUCACGUACUUGCAGGGUUGGAACAUUUCCCACCCCGAUUGCCCUCCCAUCCAAACCGUCUUGGAGCUUUUUGCUUUUCCGCAUCCUUCAUUUUGGCCUCUCCGGCCGGCUGUCUUUCAGGGAGUCCUGGAGGACGAUGUUUCCCAGGCUGCGACGGACCUGGCCGGUCUCACAAGGAGCUCCCCUCCCUCUCUUCUCAUUGCACGUGUCCACAGCUUCAUCGUCCGCUUGGGGCAGGGAGCCAUGCCAGAGCCCCGUGCCCUGUGCCUCCUCAGCAGGACCCAAUUGUAUUCAUUUAUGACCUUAUUUAUUUGGCUCAGGACUGCACAGAGUCCUUCCUUCCCCCUGGCUAGCCAGCUUCCACCCUCUUUUCUCGCAAGGUUAUGGAACAGAUGGUCUUUAUUUUUGUUUAGCAGAGGCAGCCAUCACCUCUUCUCCAGCAAAGGCCUGCAUCAAUCUUUGCACAAAAACAAUGUUCCCAAGAGUCUCGUGGCACUUGGACUACGAGCAUCUCCAGUGACCUGCGUGCAGCUCACCAGGGACCCCAAAUCCGCAACGAAUGUGCUCGUUAGAACGUCACCUGUCAUCAGCUCCUUCUGGAGAAAGCAUGAAGCCACUCCUGCGCACGUCUCUUUGCUCCUACUUGAGAGCCGCGCUUCGUUCCUUUAAGUGGCUGCGCUGACUGACGUGGAGUUCAACACACAUCAAUGGUUUUUCUGUUAUUUAGCUGAGCUUGUGACUGCGUCUUUCUCAGACCUGGGGAAGCUGGUCCAGCAUCUCUCCCAACUGGACCAUCGGUUCAGGAAGAGAGAUCACAAACACCCCACCGCCUCUUGGACACUUCUUGGACCAUUGCAGCUACAAGUCUUCCUAGACCAGUCUAGGAAAGUCGUGGUGACACCAUGCUUGAAAGGCCAGCUUGUGUCACCAAGCAGAUGGACAGCAAUGCUCUCCACUGACGUCCCUAUGUGAUGUCCCUUUCUGCCAUGUCGCAGCCUCUGUUGCAAUAGGUGCAUGAGGACCCUUGCUCUUCCCAUGGUCUGGGGAAGCAGAGACAUCCCCCUCUUUUAGAGAGCGCGCUGCCCUGAGCAUUUCAUUCCUUGCUCUCCCGCUGCAGGCAGCGUUUGCAAUUAGCCUGCCAGGUACGGCCUUAGCGGGACCGUGCUCGUGUGGGACAAAUCGCAGUGCUGCAGCCUGUCCGCCCACCUGUCAGCUUGUCAUGCAGGCUUCCUAAAUCUAAACAGCCGUGAGCAAGGAUGCAAGGGCAGCCCUGACCAUGCUCUGCCUCCCGUCCAAAUAGCCGCAGGAAUGUUUUACAGAUUGAACCACUGCCAGGAGAAGUCCCUCCGUUUGGUGCAAUGCUUGUGCUCAGGAAUACAGGCUUUGGCCGUCAUAAACCCCAUUCUCUCUAGCCCCUGUUUCUUUAUUGGCAGAGCCCACAAGCUGGGAGCACUGGCACUGCAUGAAAGGGAUUUUGAAACCUAAAUCGGCCAAGUCGGGAGCAGUCAGGAGCCCUCGGCCACCCCGGCUCGCACAAGCGGUUUCUCUCCGUCUAUGAAACAGUUUUGCCACUUUGGCAAAAUGAUAAAUCAAGUUUCUUUAAUAGGGCCAAGUUUUGCAGCGCCCAGAUCAGCAGGGGAGGGUCUGGGAUUGGGCCAGUUCUCCCCAGUCUCAGUUUCAUCUCCGUCAGCAGAAAAUCCCCCCCUGGCUGAUUAGAUCCCGAAGGUCAGUUGCCAUUGCGCGGGGCUCGGCUUCAGGCUGGCAGCCUUCAGCUACUCAGGGACCACUUGUGAAUGGAUCACUUCAUGCUCAGAGGUUGCAGGAGGCACCUGGAUCUGCCUCGAUGCAGCAAGCCCGCUGAGAGAGGCAGCCGCGCAGUGCCAGAGGUAUGCCUCGCAGUGCCAGAGGCAUGCCUCGCAGCCUUGUCCUGCCACAAAAGCCGUCUUUUAUUUUUAUUUUUUCUUGCCCUUUGGAUCUGCUUCGUGCUGGCCAUUUUGCAUUUUUAAGACCCAAGAGGAAAACCAGACUGAACCUGUUGUACGUAAUGCCGUGAGAAACAAGCAUCCUUUAAGGUGACCUCAGUGAGCUUUCCAUAGUCCGUGCAGUCUCGUGCUGCGCUCUUCUUUUUUAAGCUAGUUUUCAAGGCAAGGCCCAAAGACUGGUUCACCUUCUUGAUCCAGUUCCUCCUUGACCUCCACCACCUCCCUGUGUGCAAAGGAGGCCAAGAGAUGUCCAACGUGGGUCAAACCUUUAAUUUGGGGUUUGCUAGUUACUAGGAGAGAUGGGGAGAAAACCAAGCCCCAUGAGACCUGCCCAAAGAAGAACGCAGCAGCCUGCGUUUGCAACACGAGGCAAACAAAGAAGCCAGCCCUCCACCAUCGCAGCCAAGAGGAAGAGAAAACUUGGAGGAGCCGAAGAGAAGGAUGCAGCACAGACAGGUGCAUAUUACUCAGAGCUGCACUGAAAGCACCCAGGCCAAAGAGAGGAGGAAGGUCUGCCGAGUCCAUGCCUCCUGCACCCAGAGCCAAUUGUGCAUCAAGCACUAUAGCGCUCAGAGCUGCCUGCCGCACCAAGCAGGAGACCUGAUCUUUGCCAGGCCCCCUUGGGCUCUCCUCGCCCCUGCAGCUCCAGCACCCCACACUGCCAGGUUUUCCCAGGGUCAGAGGUACCCAAGAGCCUGGCCCGUCGUCUCGGUGCCAGCCAGCCUGUUCAGCUGCAGCCUGAGCAGGGUGACGUGGUGGAGCAUUUUGCAGAGGCGAGGCUGAGCAGCUCGCGGAGAUGGGUGCAAUGUGAAGGCUUGCAGUUAGAAGCUAGCCCCUUCUUCCAGUAUGCAGAGAGGAAGGGUCCGGGAGGGGAAAAAACCCCCACACUGAUUACGUUUUACAGGGAAAAGCAGAUAACCCCUCAGGGACUCCUAGGUGCCACUGAAGUAGAAGCAGGACGGCAUUCCCCCAUGCUCUGAUUUUAAGUGUAUAUUGAUGAUUGUACAUAUGACAUGCACCACAUUUCUCAUUUUAAAUGUAUACCAUCAAGACUAAUUAUUAAUGUAUUUAUGCAGCUGUUAUACACGAUUUAAAUAUUCACCCUAUUACAUUUACAUGCGUGCACUAUACCGUGGCACAGAGCCCCGUUCAGUACUGUGAUUUAGAACAGCAUCACACGGCUGUAAUGCAAACCCAGCCUCUUUUCCCAAGUUCGGUAAAAAAAAAAUAAACUAAAGCCCUCGGGCCCGA